UCCCUGGUGGCUCAGUGGUAAAGAAUCUGCCUGCAGUGCAGGAGACACAGGUUUGAUUCCUGGGUGGGGAA
rnacentral:tRNA from 1 species